rnacentral:lncRNA from 1 species
GUGUUUAGGAAAGUACUAUAGUGAAAAACAAGUGUAGAAAAAUUUUUUUUUUGAGAAAUAAGAGAGCAAACUAUCAACUUUAUUCAUUAAGUAAAAUAAACUGCGCGUGCAGAGAUGGAAGCAACUUAGGUCUCCAAAAAUGUAAAAAUAACAGGCAAAAGGCCAAAAGGGGGAAAGGAGGUGAGACGGGAAGGUUAGAGAAAGAGAAGUAAAUCUAGUGUCGCUUCAGGUCAGUACGGUCCAGCACAAAUGUAGAAAAGUUAAACA